AUGAUCUGUUCAUGUUAUGAAGGAAAGCACAGUGCAUGUAGGGGGUGUGGCCUCAAUACAUGCAUAGGCUAUACCUCUAAAGAGCUGCUGAAUGCCAUUGCUAUGCACUUUUUGUCUUUACAUUGCCAUAGACAGUCAAAGGUAGAAUGUGCUGUGAACAACUGCGAUUUGAAUUAAAUAUUUGACACCAAAAACAAAUCCAAAAGGCACGUAAUGGUGAAAGCAUUGUUUUGGCCAUAACAGACCACUGUAAUAGAUGCAUUCAGCCAUCUACUAUAUUGUAGCAUGUUAUAUGAUGGCUUCAUUAAUCAAGACUUUAUUAAUCACUUGUUAGAUUCUUUUGAUUAAUCACAUUUUAUGUAAAAACAAACUAAAGGCCUGAUAAUUACUUUCAAAUUCUUUUUUUUCUACAUUCUAUUUUUACAUUUGAGUAGUAUGUUACUAAUAUUUUUUUUAUAUUUACACAUCUCAUAUUUAUCUGUAUUUGAUUUGUUCAUGAGAAAUACUGUAUUGUUAGACUUUAUGUCCUACUAUAACCUUGUAAAUGGUUGUCUCUUCUGUUUCUUCCGAUGUCCUAACUAUAACCUUGUAAAAUAGGUUGUCUCUUCUGUUUCUUCCGCUGAAAUAUUUCAUUUGUAUUGUCUAUUGAAUAUGAUUUUUUUUCCUUCCUGUAUCCCAACUCUUGGUCUUUAUUGAUUUAAAUUAAGGAUUCACAUUUAUUUUCCCCCCAAGGAUAAAUUAUCAUUAUUUUUCAAAUGCUGAUUUUGAUCUUGUACUUCCUUUCUACAUGUUUGUUUGUUUGUUUGUUUAUGAUUGACUGAGUAUUUGAUUUGUUCAUGAGAAAUACUGUAUUGUUUAGACUUUUAUGUCCUAACUAUAACCUUGUAAAAUGGUUGUCUCUUCUGUUUCUUCCGCUGAAAUAUUUCAUUUUGAUUGUCUAUUGAAUAUGAUUUUUUUUUUCCUCCUGUAUCCCAACUCUUGGUCUUUAUUGAUUUAAAUUAAGGAUUCACAUUUAUUUUCCCCCCAAGGAUAAAUUAUCAUUAUUUUUCAAAUGCUGAUUUUGAUCUUGUACUUCCUUUCUACAUGUUUGUUUGUUGUUUGUUAUGAUUGACUGAGUACACACAGACACACACACACACACACACACACACACACAUCCAAGUUUUUUCUAAACUUUAAAAAUAUUGUCCUUACGUGUUAAAACGUCGCUCUUCUUUUUUCGCAUAUAGUAACUAGAUUAAUUUACUAAGCUAAAAAAUAAAAAAAAAAAAAAAAAAAAAACAAAUAGGUUACUAUAGUUAAACCAUAGUAACCACAAAUUAACCGUAAAAAAUAUAUAAUAAUAAAAAUAAUAAUAAUAAUAAUAAUAAAAAGGUUACUACACUUUUACUACAAUAAAACCAUGGUUAAUUUUCAUAUAAUAAUUUUCGAGAAAUUUGCAAAAUUGUAUUGCUUGAACUUGUUAUCAUAACAAAUAUGCAAGUGCUAAUUUCUUAACAAUUCAAACGGCAUUAUCAUUGACUUAAACUAAUAUUACAUUUAUUCGGGUGUUUUCGUGGCUCCUAUCUAGAUUAUUAAAGUUCUAUGUCGUAUUCUGUCUAAUUUCUCAAUUGCCUUGUAGCAGCUCCAUUCACUACGCAACCAUAAUUUAUAGCUUUAAAGAUCUCAAUCAAGUUCGCUAGAUAUAGCCAAGGAUAUAGCUUCUCUUCUGCCCCCAUGCAAAAACAAUUAUACAUCUCAUAUAGUUAAAUUCCUAGACUAAACUAUUAUUCGAUGUUAUUAUAUUUAAAAAGUACCUUUCAAUUGACGUCUCCUUGCGGUCUCAGUGCGCUUCCUGUUUACUACUAGCACGGGAAAUGACGUAUGUUGCGUAAUUCCUGUGUUCCAAUUUGCAUACUACGCGUCGUAAAUAGUAUUAGAAAAUAUAAUUAGUUUGUUCCAAAUCAUAGUAUGUUUAAAAAAGUAUGCCAAAGAUUCCCGGGUAGUCUACUACUUCCGGUUAGAAUUCGAAGUGCAGAUCGAUGCGCACUCUUAACGGCUAAUAUUGCCCACAACGCAUUGCGCGGUGGACGAGGAUUCGAUUAGAACUACAAACACGCAUUAAAAGUGUUAAAAAACUACAAACAUGGCGGAUAUAUGCGACCAACGGACAGGUAGAGAAACGGAUUUGACAUAAUGAAAAUAUUAAUUUAAUGUUAUCCACGUUAUAUUUCAUCUGCAGCAACACUGUGAACUUUUAUAAUGAUACGUUUGGUCAUUAACUUUUAAAUGCAUCAUUAUGCAAACACAUAAGUUCUCGGCAUGAUUGACCUGCGACUAGCAAAUCAACAUACCUCCUAAUUUCUCUCCAGUACAGUAAGAAAUAAAAUUAAACUUAAUCUGGAUGAUGUUAACUUUGAUAAGAUGAUUGACAGUGCAGUUUAAACAGUGAGUGCACUUAACUAAGCAACAGAGCGUCUG
rnacentral:lncRNA from 1 species